UGGUAUUAAUCCUAGCGGCGCUACUAA
rnacentral:piRNA from 1 species